CAUUUUUGUUUUAGGUUUGGAUUUUCUUUCCCUUAUUCCAGUUGAUCCCCAGUACUGUCCUCCUAUGUUUUUGGAUAGUCUGACCUCACCCUUAACAGCAAGCAGUACGUCUGUCACCACCACCAGCCCCCAUGAGAGCAAUACUCAUGUUAGUUCCUCCAGCAGCAGGAGUGAAACAGGGGUCAUAACCAGCAGUGGAAGCAACAUUCCUGACAUCAUCUCAUUGGACUAAAGGACAGCGCACUUGAUUCUGGGGAAUUAUUCAUCAAAACUGCUCUUUCUUGGAUCUCUAGACUGUGGAAACUAUUUUUUUUUGGCAAUUACUUUGAUAUUUAUUGAAAGUCAGAUGGAUUCUUUUGCUUUCUGGGAGAUGAACACAGAUGACUGCAGCAAGAACCAAAUGACAUGCAAGGAUUUUUCUUACUCACGCUGAACUCUGAGCUUCAGAGUAAUUCAGCCAUAACUGUAUCUUCUGGAGAGAUGGAUUUCAAUUUCAUACAUUAAUGGAUGGAUCCUACAAAUCAGUUAAAAAAAUGUUUUUGUUAUAAUAAACAGCAAUAAAAAUUAUGUAAA